rnacentral:rRNA from 1 species
AUGGGCAAGAUCCAGCCGCCGCUGAAGCCUAUCCCACCGGCGCAGCUCCCCAUCGCCAUUGCGCUUCUCCUUCCCCGCGUGUCUCCACUUCCCCUUGCUGCUCGGAUUGGUGUGCCGCGGUGCCGCCACUCAGUAAUGCUUGAGCACAGCACCAGCCGCCGCCGCGGUCAUUGCGUCCCUGAACUGCCACGCGCCGCCUGCGGCCUUGCUUCUUCCCCUGUCUUCUGCCCGGGCGAACCCCUUUUUGUCCUCCCAGGCACAGCUGCAACCUCCUUCUCAGUCCAAAUUGAGCGCUGGUUGUCGUACAAGUUGAAUCCCGGCUAG